rnacentral:rRNA from 1 species
AUUGUUUGCAGAGCUCUAGGGUGUAAGAUUCACCAUGCAGGUGCCUUGGACUUCUCCACAAGAAUGAUCCUACCAUUCCACUCAGUCUCGUCGCAAGCUCGGAUUGCUGCAUCAGCGUCCUCAUCCUUCUCCAGGGAUAAAAAUCCAAAGCCUCGAGAAUCUCCAGUUCGUUUAUCUCGGACAACCCGCACCCUUGUUACACGUCCAAACUUUGCAAAUUUCUUCUCCAACUCUCGCUCUGUGGUGGCAUAG